rnacentral:misc_RNA from 1 species
AUUGACGUAAACGACCUGAAGGUCAAGGUAGGUCAUGCGUGCCGUUUCCUCAAGGGCGGCGAUAAGGUCAAGGUAUCCGUUCGCUUCCGCGGCCGCGAGGUCACCCAUUCUUCCAUCGGUCUGGAGCUGCUGCAGCGAUUUGCAGAACAGUGCACGGAGUUCGGCGCGGUAGAGAAGCAGCCCAAGCUGGAAGGCCGUCACAUGCACAUGUUCCUGGCCCCCAAGAAGGAUAAGUAAACCCAGAGGUGCAUCCCCUUUUUCAAAACAAACGGAUGCGAUACACAGAGAGGAGUUAAAUAACAUGCCUA